rnacentral:rRNA from 1 species
CAAUGGGCGCAAGCCUGAUCCAGCCAUGCCGCGUGAGUGAAGAAGGCCUUCGGGUUGUAAAGCUCUUUCGGCGGGGACGAAACGGUCCGUGACAACACCACGGACUAAUGACGGUACUCGCAGAAGAAGCACCGGCUAACUACGUGCCAGCAGCCGCGGUAAUACGUAGGGUGCAGGCGUUAAUCGGAAUUACUGGGCGUAAAGCGUGCGCAGGCGGCUCUUUAAGUCAGAUGUGAAAGCCCCGGGCUUAACCUGGGAACUGCGUUUGAAACUGGAGAGCUUGAGUGUGGAAGAGGGGGGUGGAAUUCCAGGUGUAGCAGUGAAAUGCGUAGAUAUCUGGAGGAACACCGAUGGCGAAGGCAGCCCCCUGGGCUAACACUGACGCUCAUGCACGAAAGCGUGGGGAGCAAACAGGAUUAGAUACCCUGGUAGUCCACGCCCUAAACUAUGUCAACUGGUUGUCGGGGAAGUAAUUCCUUGGUAACGAAGCUAACGCGUGAAGUUGACCGCCUGGGGAGUACG